CAAGUACUGGUCUCAGCAGAUUGAGGAGAGCAUCACAGUGGUCACCACGCAGUCCACUGAGGUUGGGGCUGC
rfam:Callithrix jacchus chromosome X, whole genome shotgun sequence